rnacentral:rRNA from 1 species
CCUACGGGAGGCUGCAGUGGGGAAUAUUGGGCAAUGGGCGCAAGCCUGACCCAGCAACGCCGCGUGAAGGAAGAAGGCUUACGGGUUGUAAACUUCUUUUCUCAGGGACAAAGCAAGUGACGGUACCUGAGGAAUAAGCCACGGCUAACUACGUGCCAGCAGCCGCGGUAAUACGUAGGUGGCAAGCGUUAUGCGGAUUUACUGGGUGUAAAGGGCGUGUAGGCGGGACUGCAAGUCAGAUGUGAAAACCACGGGCUCAAACUGUGGCGUGCAUUUGAAACUGUAGUUCUUGAGUACUGGAGAGGCAGACGGAAUGCCUAGUGUAGCGGUGAAAUGCGUAGAUAUUAGGAGGAACACCAGUGGCGAAGGCGGUGUGCUGGACAGCAACUGACGCUGAGGCGCGAAAGCGUGGGGAGCAAACAGGAUUAGAUACCCCUGUAGUC